rnacentral:rRNA from 1 species
AUUGAACGCUGGCGGCAGGCUUAACACAUGCAAGUCGAACGAGUGGCGGACGGGUGAGUAAUGCUUGGGAAUCUAGCUUAUGGAGGGGAUUAACUACGGGAAACUGUAGCUAAACCCGCUUACCAUGGGAGGAGCCCAGGUGGGAUUAGGUAGUUGGUUAGGUAAAGGCUAACCAAGCCGACGAUCUCUAGCGGGUCUGAGAGGAUGACCAGCCACACUGGGACUGAGACACGGCCCAGACUCCUACGUGAGGCAGCAGUGGGGAAGAUUGCGCAAUGGGGGCAACCUGACGCAGCCAUGCCGCGUGAAUGAAGAAGGCCUUCGGGUUGUAAAGUUCUUUCGGUAGCGAGGCGUUAACUACAGAAGAAGCACCGGCUAACUCCGUGCCAGCAGCCGCGGUAAUUC